UUUUAAAUAAGUAAGUAGUAAUUUGGGGUUGGAGAACUUGCUUAACUUGAUAUAUCCCAGUUAAGUCAAAUUAGAAAAAAUAAUUUCUUGUACCCAGUGUCCUUUGGGCGUUCUAUCAGACAUGCGCAGAUCUGCCCUGCCCACUUUCGCGCUCUUUCCAACACCUUUCUCAGUUAUUUUCGCCAUUGUGGGUUUACUUGUCCUCAGCACACUGAUUUGGCACUGCUGCAAUCGUCACACUUUUUCUGUUACAAACUGACCCGGCCCCUCAUCAGAGAAGGGAAAAGUCAUGUGGCCUUCACAGGAAAAGGAAUACAGAUCGAAAGAGUGCAGAGAUCACACUCGACGCCAUAACAACCUGGUGUGUUUAAGGCUGAAGCAAAUGGUCAAAAGUCCACACAUACCUCAGUCUCAGCAAUUACAGGUCAACCAAAGCAGUAUUCUCUAAUGCAGUGGACUUGCAAGUACUGCACAUUUUCUGCUGAAAAGAGCCUACUUGCUUAAGCAUUACCGCUUAAAACAUGGAUACCACACUCGGACAUCCCUACUCCCAUGUCUUCAUAAGGACUGCCUCUGCACAUUUAAAUCUUUUAAUGCACUCAAAGUACACCUAUCGACAUGGCACUCUCAAAAAGAUGCAGGCAAAAGUGGAGAAACUGCAUUUGACCGUCAGUUGUGCAACUUUGUGGAGCCCUGCUCAGAAGCAGACUUCUUUACCCAUUUGCGAGGACAUCUUAAGCUGAGGCAAAUGGUUACUUGCCCAUAUCAAGACUAACUUUCAGAGCAGUAUUUAUUCGACCUUCACUGCACACAAAAGCAAAGAAAUGUGAAAUGUGUUUGAGCCAUAGUGUGGGUAGGACAUUUGUGUCUAAAUCAUUCAAUCCCAAUAAAAGUUGCUUUAAUAAAAAAAAACUUAUUUUUAAUCAAAGAAAAAGAACCUUUUGCAAAAAUAUAUUUUUUUGAAAAUAUAUAUAUUUUUAAAUAUAUAUUUUUUUUAUUGACGUGUCACUUUUUUUUUUAAAGGAAAAAGUUUAA